AGAGUUUGAUCCUGGCUCAGGAUGAACGCUGGCGGCGUGCCUAAUACAUGCAAGUCGAACGCACAGCGAAAGGUGCUUGCACCUUUCAAGUGAGUGGCGAACGGGUGAGUAACACGUGGAUAACCUACCUCAAGGUUGGGGAUAACAUUUGGAAACAGAUGCUAAUACCGAAUAAAACUUCGUAUCGCAUGAUACAAGGUUAAAAGGCGCUACGGCGUCACCUAGAGAUGGAUCCGCGGUGCAUUAGUUAGUUGGUGGGGUAAAGGCCUACCAAGACAAUGAUGCAUAGCCGAGUUGAGAGACUGAUCGGCCACAUUGGGACUGAGACACGGCCCAAACUCCUACGGGAGGCUGCAGUAGGGAAUCUUCCACAAUGGGCGAAAGCCUGAUGGAGCAACGCCGCGUGUGUGAUGAAGGCUUUCGGGUCGUAAAGCACUGUUGUAUGGGAAGAACAGCUAGAGUAGGGAAUGACUUUAGUUUGACGGUACCAUACCAGAAAGGGACGGCUAAAUACGUGCCAGCAGCCGCGGUAAUACGUAUGUCCCGAGCGUUAUCCGGAUUUAUUGGGCGUAAAGCGAGCGCAGACGGUUGAUUAAGUCUGAUGUGAAAGCCCGGAGCUCAACUCCGGAGAGGCAUUGGAAACUGGUCAACUUGAGUGCAGUAGAGGUAAGUGGAACUCCAUGUGUAGCGGUGGAAUGCGUAGAUAUAUGGAAGAACACCAGCGGCGAAGGCGGCUUACUGGACUGUAACUGACGUUGAGGCUCGAUAAGUGUGGGUAGCAAACAGGAUUAGAUACCCUGGUAGUCCACACCGUAAACGAU
rnacentral:rRNA from 1 species